rnacentral:rRNA from 1 species
AACGAACGCUGGCGGCAUGCCUAACACAUGCAAGUCGAACGAGACCUUCGGGUCUAGUGGCGCACGGGUGCGUAACGCGUGGGAACCUGCCUUUAGGUUCGGAAUAACUCAGAGAAAUUUGAGCUAAUACCGGAUGAUGUCUUCGGACCAAAGAUUUAUCGCCUUUAGAUGGGCCCGCGUUGGAUUAGCUAGUUGGUGGGGUAAAGGCCUACCAAGGCGACGAUCCAUAGCUGGUCUGAGAGGAUGAUCAGCCACACUGGGACUGAGACACGGCCCAGACUCCUACGGGAGGCAGAAGUGGGGAAUAUUGGACAAUGGGCGAAAGCCUGAUCCAGCAAGGCCGCGUGAGUGAUGAAGGCCUUAGGGUUGUAAAGCUCUUUUACCCGAGAUGAUAAUGACAGUAUCGGGAGAAUAAGCGCCGGCUAACUCCGUG